CAGAUUUGAUGGACGGCCGCUCUGCUUCGGCAGGGAGGAAAGUCCGGACACCACAGGGCAGGAAGUCCGGUUGAAAAGCCGGAUGCUGCGGACCAGAUUCCGCAGUAAGGAAAGCGCAACAGAAAAUAUACCGCCUUUCGGGGUAAGGGUGAAAUGGUGGGGUAAGGGCCCACCGCGCUGUCAGGAAACUGCGGCGGCAGUGCAAGCCCCUUCCGGUGCAAGACCAAAUAGGGAACGACGGCGCUGCCCGUGCCGCGCCCCCUGCAAAGGGGAAUAAGUUCCGGGUAUCGGUCGCUUAGAUGAAUGGUCGUCAGUCCACCUCCGGGUGGAACACAGAAUCCGGCUUAUAAUCAAAUCUGCUCU
rnacentral:RNase_P_RNA from 1 species